GAUGAAGAACGUAGCGAAAUGCGAUAAGUAAUGUGAAUUGCAGAAUUCAGUGAAUCAUCGAAUCUUUGAACGCACAUUGCGCCCCCUGGAAUUCCGGGGGGCAUGCCUGUUCGAGCGUCUCAGGGACGAACCCUCGCGCGGGUGUACGCGCGGUCGUGGCUGCGGUGGCGUGCCCGAGGCGGCGGCCACCGCGCUGGAAUCCAUGGGCGGACGCCUGCCGCGUGGCCGAGCGUGAUAUGACGCAUUGGCGCUCACGCGGCGAGGCUGCCAGCCCUGGCCCGUCUGUCGGGCGGGGGAGAGCAAGACACGUGAACUCCUCGAAUCAGGUAGGGAUACCCGCUGAACUUAAGCAUAUCAAUAAGCGGAGGA
rnacentral:misc_RNA from 1 species